UAAUACGUAGGGGGCAAGCGUUGUCCGGAUUUAUUGGGCGUAAAGAGCGUGUAGGCGGCCUGACAGGUCUGCUGUGAAAACUCGAGGCUCAACCUCGAGAUGUCGGCGGAAACCGUCUGGCUAGAGUCCGGAAGAGGAGAGUGGAAUUCCUGGUGUAGCGGUGAAAUGCGCAGAUAUCAGGAAGAACACCUAUGGCGAAGGCAGCUCUCUGGGACGGUACUGACGCUGAGACGCGAAAGCGUGGGGAGCGAACAGGAUUAGAUACCCUGGUAGUCCACGCCGUAAACGAUGGGUGCUAGGUGUGGGCGGUGUCGACUCCGUCCGUGCCGAAGCUAACGCAUUAAGCACCCCGCCUGGGGAGUACGGCCGCAAGGCU
rnacentral:rRNA from 1 species